GAUUGAACGCUGGCGGCAUGCCUAACACAUGCAAGUCGAACGGCAGCGCGGGGGCAACCCUGGCGGCGAGUGGCGGACGGGUGAGGAAUGCAUAGGAAUCUGCCCGGUUGUGGGGGAUAACGUAGGGAAACUUACGCUAAUACCGCAUACGACCUUCGGGUGAAAGUGGGGGACCUUCGGGCCUCACGCGAUCGGAUGAGCCUAUGCCCGAUUAGCUAGUUGGCGGGGUAAGAGCCCACCAAGGCGACGAUCGGUAGCUGGUCUGAGAGGAUGAUCAGCCACACUGGGACUGAGACACGGCCCAGACUCCUACGGGAGGCAGCAGUGGGGAAUAUUGGACAAUGGGCGCAAGCCUGAUCCAGCAAUGCCGCGUGUGUGAAGAAGGCCUUCGGGUUGUAAAGCACUUUUGUUCGGGAAGAAAUCCGUGUGGUUAAUACCCGUACGGGAUGACGGUACCGAAAGAAUAAGCACCGGCUAACUUCGUG
rnacentral:rRNA from 1 species